rnacentral:tRNA from 1 species
GUCUGGGUGGCUUAGUCAGUUAAAGUGUCUGACUUUGGCUCAGGUCAUGAUCUCAUGGGUUUGUGGGUUCAAGUUCCGCAUUGGGCU